CGAUGGGCGGGGUAGUGAGGGGGCGGCAUUAUGACGGCUGGAGCGCUUCAAAGGAGAACGCGUCGCAUAAAUUGGCCUGGCGGCUUUAAUAAUUCACCUCGGAGCAACGAAUAUGGUCAGGAGUUGCAAGUAGCCAAGUUGCCUGCUGCCUGCUGCAAGUUGCGACAGUCGCCGCAGUGGCUGCCCCAACAGAGUCAUACAAAUCACAGUUAUGAUUAUUGCCGCGAUUAAAAACUGUCGCCCGCCUCGUCGAUGUCUACGUCGCUGUCAUCGCAGCAAAGCCAAGAAAUCAACCAGACUGCAGUCACAAAAAUAU
ensembl:ncRNA lncRNA:CR44583 long non-coding RNA:CR44583